rnacentral:lncRNA from 1 species
CUUACAAAUCAUCAGUAAUGAAUAUUACUUAAAGAAUGUAGAUACAAAAAUAAAAACAAAAUUUUAUUUGAAUUAAAGGAUUUUCGUAAUUACUAAUCAAUUAAUCCCUUGGUCCAAUCGAAUUUUUCAAAACGACUGCGAAACAUAUCUUCGCGUGGAUCUUUUUUACCUGUCCAAGAACCUUUCCUUCUGAUUACUUCAGGAGGAAGGUUUAGCAUACUGGCAAAUACCUGCCUAGGAACUUGAUCGUGCCUCCCCCAUGCCUUCUCGUCUUCCACGACAUGCCCGUAGCCACCAUCAAUACUGAACCAAACAUGAAAAUAACCCAAUUCUAAUCAUUAGUAAAAUAAAUGAUUACGAUUUUCCAAACAUACCCUUAACCAUCAUUUUUCGAAAAGCCCAUUUUCCAUACUUCUUCGAACCUUCUAAUGUAUCAAUAAUUUUUCGAUGUUGAGACCACUCCUCGUCAGAAGUAGACAAAGCUUCACGGAAGUAAGCAGGUGCAAGUGAGAGGAUCCUUUUAGAGACUGGAAUACACUCAAUAGCUGUGUGCAUAUAUCUUUGUGGUGAAGGCGCGUUUUCAUAAAAAAUAACACCAAGAUUCAUGGAAUCAAACAUUAGGGCGAUGCAUUUCAUAAAAUUCUAAAAAGGUUUGUUAGUUAUUUCCUUUUACUAUAUUAACAUACUCUGAUUUCAUCCCAUUCAUCCUCAUCACAGCUGAGGGUAUUUAUCCGAUGUCCUGUAGGAACAAUUAAACAAUGAUAUUUAGCUAAUUCGGGUUGAGUUGGUAAAGAAACAUAAGCACGAUGACUUAAAGAUAUUACUGGUGCCAAAGGUUGUGUUUCAUAAUUUAGGCAAAGAGGACAAGUGUCCAAAACAUGAUUAAUUUUUUUAAGAUCCCCACCACUACUAAUUUGAGCUAGACUGACGUCUCCGCGCUUCAUUCGAUUAGAAAGUUUCCCUGCAUUUUCGUCCAAAUAAUCCAGAUUGUUAGAAUAAGUUUUAUCCUUUGCAAUCUGCUUUGCGUAUUCAUAAUUCUGGCCGUAUUUCCGUUGUUUAUUCAACAAUUUUUCUUCCUGUACCAUCUCAUCAAUAGUAGGAUCGUCGAAGUUUCUUUUUUUUGAUGGUAUGGUUGCUUGCGAAUUAGAAUUUUCCGAAGGGUGUAAAGAGUUUUCGAAGUCAUCACAAGCUUUCUGAUAUUCCCUUUCUAAAGACUCAUAGUUAGGAUCCUUUUUAAGUUGAGCACGUAACAAAUCAGCUUUUAAUCUAUUCAAAUCGCUUUCAGUGGGAGUAUCUUUAUUUACAGAAGGGUCAGGUAUUACUUUGUAGUAUGUAGCGCCAUUACCAGAAUCUUUUCUAGUCUUAAAUUCAUCAGCACAUCGUUUUUCAUAUAAUUCGCCAGUAGGAACUUCUUUCUGAACUUUUCGAGUUCGUUUUCGAAGCUCUAACUCAUCUCUUUCUUCCAAGGCAAAAUCAAAUUCUUUCAAUGAACCAUAACGUUCCAGAGCUACUUCUUCAACGGGGCGUCGUUGGUCUUGAGCCAUGUCAAAUACGCGUUUGAGCUUCAUCAUACGCCAUCGAGAGCCAUUAUCACCAAUUUUGUAAUUAAUUCCUGACUCAUUAAUUUCGGUUUCAAGCUGUUCUAUAUCUUUAUGUUCUGUACUCGUCGAACUCUCAUUCUGUAAUGUUGCACCAACAAAAAUUUCACCAGGCUUAUUGGACUUUCGGUCAAUAGGUUCUCUUUGUAUACGCGAACCGAACGUACCAAAAUCCAAACCUUGCAAUGAAUUAGUAAAGUCAUUAUUCUGUGGAUUGUCUUUGGAGGAUGGCAUGGAAGAAGCAGAAGCGAAUUUGGAGUCAAAGUAUUCAUUUUCAACAGGAAGUUUCUUUACCUCCAAUGGCUCUUUACUAAAUCUUUCAUGCCUACUUCGGUCACCUGCUUCUCUAGAGCUUGGCCUUUCACUGCGAUCAUGUCGUCCAUGCUUGCUCUCACGAUGCCUAGAGUGGUGGUGACGAUGCCUUCUAGAGUGAUUUGUUUCUCUGUCAGUUUCAUUGAAUUUGUGAGUACUGGUCCUAUUUGUAAGCUUUUCCUUUUCCAUAAUGGACGUUAUUUUAAUAUUAAUUCAUGAAAUAAAUAAUUUUUAACAAUAAUUAGAGGCAAAAUGGUG